GAAAUGCGAUAAGUAAUGUGAAUUGCAGAAUUCAGUGAAUCAUCGAAUCUUUGAACGCACAUUGCGCCCGCCAGUAUUCUGGCGGGCAUGCCUGUCCGAGCGCCAUUUCAACCAUCAAGCCCCCGGGCUUGUGUUGGGGACCUGCGGCUGCCCGCAGGCCCUGAAAACCAGUGGCGGGCUCGCUGUCACACCGAGCGUAGUAGCAAUCACCUCGCUCAGGGCGUGCUGCGGGUUCCGGCCGUUAAACAGCCUUACAAAACCCAAGGUUGACCUCGGAUCAGGUAGGAAGACCCGCUGAACUUAAGC
rnacentral:misc_RNA from 1 species